GACGAACGCUGGCGGCGUGCUUAACACAUGCAAGUCGAACGGAAAGGCCCUGCUUUUGUGGGGUGCUCGAGUGGCGAACGGGUGAGUAACACGUGAGUAACCUGCCCUUGACUUUGGGAUAACUUCAAGAAACUGGGGCUAAUACCGGAUAGGAGCUCCUGCUGCAUGGUGGGGGUUGGAAAGUUUCGGCGGUUGGGGAUGGACUCGCGGCUUAUCAGCUUGUUGGUGGGGUAGUGGCUUACCAAGCCUUUGACGGGUAGCCGGCCUGAGAGGGUGACCGGCCACAUUGGGACUGAGAUACGGCCCAGACUCCUACGGGAGGCAGCAGUGGGGAAUAUUGCACAAUGGGCGGAAGCCUGAUGCAGCAACGCCGCGUGCGGGAUGACGGCCUUCGGGUUGUAAACCGCUUUCGCCUGUGACGAAGCGUGAGUGACGGUAAUGGGUAAAGAAGCACCGGCUAACUACGUG
rnacentral:rRNA from 1 species